UGCGUAGGCGGCAUGACAAGUCUGGUGUGAAAUAUCUCGGCUCAACCGAGAAAACGCACUGGAAACUGUCAAGCUUGAGUAUCGGAGGGGAAGCUAGAAUUCCUGGUGUAGGGGUGAAAUCUGUAGAUAUCAGGAAGAAUACCGGUGGCGAAGGCGAGCUUCUGGCCAGAUACUGACGCUGAGAUGCGAAAGCGUGGGGAGCGAACAGGAUUAGAUACCCUGGUAGUCC
rnacentral:rRNA from 1 species